UAAUUUAGGCUAAUUCGGCGUUUGCCGUUUGUUUAGUCACACCUCGCACCAAAAUUAGAAGGGAGCGUGAGCUCAGGCUCCUAUGGGAUAAAGUUGCGUAUUAAUGCAUUGGUUAAGUGAAUUUUGUCUAUCUUGUUUGAGUUUUUGUGAUAAUACAGGUCCAAAUAAAUUUAAACGACAACGAUGUUUAUCCCGACAGUUUGCCACUAACGCCUAUAAUUCUAAAGCAAGAAAACAAAAAUUGCUUUUAUGUUUUGGUUGAACGUCAAAUAAUACAGGCAGAUGGCUACACCACUUUUCUGGAGGCCUUAAAAGUUCUUCUUGCGUUGUACUUUGUACUAUCUUGGAUUACCCGAAAAAACUAGAAACUACCCUCCAAAUUGGAAUUUCUUCAAAGAUAUUUUCUAAAACUUCACCCCGAUCAGGGAAGUAAAGCCAGGCAGGUAUCUAAUAGCCUAAAGAAGGUUUUUUUGUCUAAUGAAUUCAAUAAAAAAUAAAAAAACAUAAUAAGUACCUAUAAUAUACAAUAUAUCUUUGUUAUAA